GUCGUUUUGGCAGCACAUAUACUAAAAUGGAAUAAUACAGAGAAGAUUAGUAUGGCUCCUGUGCAAGGACGACACACAGAUUCAUAAAAUGUUCCAUAUUUGU